UACAGAGGUGCCAAGCGUUGUUCGGAUUCACUGGGCGUAAAGGGUGCGUAGGCGGUUAUGUAAGUUGGGUGUGAAAUCCCGGAGCCUAACUCCGGAAUUGCAUUCAAAACUGCAUAGCUAGAGGUCUGGAGAGGUGACUGGAAUUCUCGGUGUAGCAGUGAAAUGCGUAGAUAUCGAGAGGAACACCAGAGGCGAAGGCGAGUCACUGGACAGAACCUGACGCUGAGGCACGAAAGCCAGGGGAGCAAACGGG
rnacentral:rRNA from 1 species